UGGAAAUCAAUUAUCAUUGGAACAACCACUGCUGUUUUUCUGGUUAUAAUACUACUCUUUGUCUUCCUAUUAAUAAAUAAAAAGAGGCCCUGUAAGCAAUUAUCAGAACCCGGAGAGAGAGCUGAGAACAGAGAACAGUGUGGACCCAGUCAGAGGCAGCCAGAGGAGCAGGAUGACAUUCACUAUGCCAGUGUCAAGUUCUCCAACAAUCAGGCAGAUCCUGUUUACUUCAACAUCAGACCAGCUCGACUCCAAAGACGUGAAGAGGAAGAAGAGGGUGUUGAGUAUGCUGCUGUCAAAUUUAACAGUGCCCCAAGAACCAGAGGUCAGGAAACAGAGGAAGACCCAGCUGCAUUGUACAGUACAGUCAACAAAGCCCGAUGAACACAACAGGAAUCUCUAGUCUACCUUUUUUAAAU